rnacentral:rRNA from 1 species
AUUCCUUGUCGGGUAAGUUCCGACCUGCACGAAUGGUGUAACGACUUGGGCACUGUCUCGGCCAUGAGCUCGGUGAAAUUGUGGUAUCGGUGAUGACGCCGAUUACCCGCAGCGGGACGAAAAGACCCCGUGAACCUUUACUACAACUUUACAUUGGCUUUAGCUGUAUCAUGUGUAGGAUAGGCGGGAGACUUAGAAGUGGCGUCGCCAGGCGUUGUGGAGUCACCCUUGAAAUAC